CCAUCUUCUAAAUCUUUCCAUCUGGUGUUUUGAUCAGAAAAUGUUCAUCAUCUCUUAAUUAAUUGCAGAAGGGAACGUGUCACAGCAAGUGGAGGCGAAGUAGGAAGACUUGGUAUAUUUGGUGGUGCUGAGAUUGGUCCUCUUCGCUGUUGGCCAGGAGGUUUAUGCCUUUCAAGAUCAAUCGGAGAUAUGGAUGUUGGGGAAUUCAUUGUUCCAAUACCAUUUGUCAAACAAGUGAAACUAUCAGCUGUAGGUGGAAGGCUAAUUAUUGCAUCUGAUGGAGUUUGGGAUGCCAUAUCAUCAGACAUGGCAGCCAAGUCUUGUCGUGGCUUGCCUGCUGAGCUUGCUGCUAGACAAGUUGUGAAGGUAGUGG